rnacentral:pre_miRNA from 15 species
GGGGCGGCACCGUUCCCGGCUCCGCAGGGCUAAAGUGCUGACAGUGCAGGUAGCUAGCGUCUGGUUGCUACUGCAGUGUGGGGGCUUGCAGCUCUGGGGGGCCACUGGCAUCGGCGGAUUGC